UACGUAGGGUGCGAGCGUUAAUCGGAAUUACUGGGCGUAAAGCGUGCGCAGGCGGUUUUGUAAGCCAGAUGUGAAAUCCCCGGGCUUAACCUGGGAAUGGCAUUUGGGACUGCAAGGCUUGAGUGCGGCAGAGGAGACUGGAAUUCCUGGGUGUAGCAGUGAAAAUGCGUAGAUAUCAGGAGGAACACCGAUGCGGAAGGCAGGUCUCUGGGC
rnacentral:rRNA from 1 species